rnacentral:sRNA from 1 species
GUGUGGGAAACUUCCUUGGAGGCAGCUCUUAUUAAUAACAACUAUCUGUCUCUCCUGGAGGGUUGCUGGGAAGCUGGCCUUCUGCUGUGAGCUUCCUAUUUACAUCCUGGUAUGACUGUGAUACGAACCCAGAAGGAAGAGACCCUUACUGCCGCCAUGUGACUAGAAAAGGGAGUCAAGGCCAAAGAUGCACCCCAAGUGCCCCCGAUCUGCCUUCUAAGGCCUUUAUCCUUAUCUUCUGGGACACAGAGUAGGUGUGGCACGUGGGUGGGGCGUUACGGCAUUCAUUUGUCAGGGAUGAUAACUUGCAGGGGCCAUGUCUAGAUGCUUCUGGAAAGGGGAAAGCGAAUAUACUGGCACCCUGGCCCUUCAGCAGGGCCCGCCUGACUCACUGACCGCACUGGACAGAUGACUCAUUCGCCAGCCUUGACCUCAAUGGGUUUGGCCACCCAUGGAGAGUGAAGUCACACCUCCAGUGCCCUGAAGCAUUCUUCUCAGCCAACUCCAAGGCAGUAAUAUCUUCAUGAUCUGAAGCUCUGUAGGCCAAAGGGCAAAAGGAAGGAAUGUUUCUAACUUGGAGGUAAAAACUACAAAAGUUUCUCAGGCAAAGAGUCUGCGAAUGAAGAAAGUUUAAAAAGCCCUUUGAUAGAGCGAGGCUGGAAGCUGGUGCUGGAGGAGACCCAUGCCAGCUUCUAUCCAAACGUUCCUGCCCUGGAUUGUAAAAAACUGCUGUGGCUUCUCGAGAAUCACCAUCCUCAGGAGAGAGACAAUUGAGCACCUGCUACCCACCAGAGACAGACAUCUGUGUCACCGAAUGCCACCGCCUCCCAGCCGUUACCAGACUGUUCCAUUGACCCUUGGUGGCCACCUGGUGUGAUGACCUCACUCUCCCGAUCAGUGGUUGAUGUGACCCAGGACACAGUCCCUGACGCUAAGUAGGGAUCCAAGUUACUAAGCCUGGUGAGGCAAUUCCUCGAUUAUCCAUGAAUUUUCUCCUCUUUCCCCAGCUGUGAACAGACUUCCAGAAAGAAGGCAAGUUCAAGGUCAGAGAAAGGGGAGAUUUGAGCUUCAAACAGAGGCUGGUGUGGCCCCAGCUUUGAGUUCACUUCCUGUUUUGUGGGGACUGAGUGGGUCCCUCUUCUAGCGCUGAACGUUCUGUUCCCUUUCUCAACACAGAGCGUACAGGUCCAGCCUCCUGACCAGUGCUCAUCUAGUGCGAAAGUGGACCCAGCUGUACCCCAAGAUGUCAGUUCACCCUAAGCUGCCUUGGGGAUUCCACCAAGUGUUUAGAGAAGUAGAGACUGCCCUGAGUCACAGGCCCUAGAGAAUUUGACUCUUUCUAGGCAAGAAGAGCCUUUGGACACGUUAUAGUGUAGGUGGGUCUCGAUCCCUUCCGUCUCAGAAGCUUCUUCUCCUGUCCAUCGUGCGGUGUGUGAGAUCUGUCAUGCUCCCUCUGGCCGAGGAAGAAGCAGCCAUCUGAGGGCAGGUAAUGGGCAACCAGAGUGAACAUAACCACACAGACGUGACAAGAACACAGGUGGCCACACUUCUGGCUGAGUCUGCCUGUCAGCAGAAACUACCCAGGGCUGGGGCUGUCCGGCCUGAGACGUGACAGAACAAACAGAUGUUGGGAGAGCUGGACAGAGGGGUGCAAGCAAAGAGGCCAUCAGAAUCACCAGAGCAAUGAAACAACCAAUUCACAAAAGCCCCCCACGCUGGAUUAAAGAAUUCACUUUGUUUAGUAGCUAAUUGCCAAACCCUAUGUUGGUCCCGGGAACUGCUAGACAUUGGUGACAUUAUGUGGAGUAGGAAAGCCAAGCUCCUUUCCUCAAUGGCAUCUGAAUCCUGGUAGGGAGAGUUGGAGCCAGGUGAUACCUGCUCUGAGAAAUAGAUUUUCUGUUUUAGUGUCCUGUUGGUAGACUAAAAUCUACCAAUUGUACCAUGGAGAUUGGCAAAUGCUAUCAAGCACCCUACCAUUAUCUUGCAUCCAGAGACUGGUCAUUAAUUACUUAUGAGCUUCUUAUUUGUAAGUUUCUUCAUGACCGUGUGAAGACAAAACCAUGGUGACCUAGCAUACUAUAUGGCAAGACACUGAGGUAGACUUUAUGGUGACGCUCUGGGCUUUUCAAGUCUUCUGGAAACUUUUUUAAACACCCUUGGCGUUUUCUUAAUCUUCCUUCCUUCCCAUACAGGUCUCCACCCUCCAUUCUGUGGCCACAGCUAAGAGUCUGAACAUUUGACCUCAAAUCAGUGGGCUAGGCUACUGUCCCCCCACCCCCAGGCCUUCCUCGGGCUCAGAGAAGAGGAACAAGAACACUUUUACAGAAUUGCCAGGAUCUGGAUCAGAGCCUCGAUCCAGCCCUCAGACUGGCAUUAUUUGAAUAGAACAGAGCCUUUCAGAGGUAGGGCAUUCUGAGAGGUCCUCUGCUGUCCGUGGGAGGGGGCUGUGCUCCUGAAGGUGAUGCUGGGGCCUCAGCCAUUUUCUUUCCUCCUUUGGUUUCCUACUACUGUGAGGUGGACAGCUGUGCCCCCAUCAUGCACCUCUGCCAUGAUAUGCUGUGUCACUAUCAUGUGUGGACUAGGAUCUCAGCAAGCCUUUCCUUGUUAGCAAGGUCUUAUACACUCCACAUAUGCUGUCACCCUCAUGGGCUUCCAGGCCACACUCUGAACAAUUGAAACAGAGACGAGAGACUGUAAGUCUAAUCCCUUGGGCAGAUGGGGGAUUCACACAACAAAGAUGCUGCCAGAAUUAUUUCUUGCGUACAUUGGUGUUGCUCCUUUUUGAACAGUUGUUACCCAGGUUCCUCUUGCCCACCUGGCAGGAUUACAACUUUUCUUAUAAGUGGACAGGGGAUUUAAUGACAGACCAGGACUUACUGGUGAUUGGAACCUGGUAAUGUCCCCUUGACCUGCCCCUUAGAGACAUAUUCUUUGAUAUAGGGAUGGGGCUAAUGACUGACUAUCUAAGUCUUCAUUGUCCCUUUUGUCAUGGGAACUGAGACCAACUGGAGGUCCAUCUCGGUGAAGAACACAUCAGCACAGACUCUCAGCAACCCUACAUUACGUUACACAAGUUUCUUUCUGACAGAUUCCAACAAGCCUGGUGAGUGCACACUGCUGCCUUCCAGUCAUGUUGGAGGCAGCGCUCUUUUAGCUAAAUUCUGGUUGGGUAACAUUAUUUCUUAAGCAAAUUAGUAAAUCCUUUAGAGCGUCAAUUUUACUACUUCAGGUUUCUCCUGUGCCAGUACAAAGGCUUUAAGAUACACUGUUUCCAGCACUUACUUCCUGGUUGUACUCACUUCCUCAAUCCGAGCUAAAAAGCUACGUCAUCCCGUCAUCCACUCAGCUUAUGUCACCACUUGCCCCACCCUGCCCCUCCCGUCCACAUCACCAACUCCUAAUCCGAGCAGUUCAGCUUUAGGUGAAAAGAGCCACACUUUCUCUCCCUCAGGCUGCUUCUUUGACCUUUGCCCUUUCCCUGUCCUAUUUCAUACCCUCUGGUUCACUUCCACGAACUGGAAUCAGUGGGUCUGUGCUCCCCCUACACCCCCCGCACCACCCCUGGGGCCAUUUGAAUGUUAAGCUAAGUCAGGUUUUAUACUUUGGUGACAGAAGCAAGGAGGUGAGAUUAUCCAGUGAUUCCCGGGAGCCAGAGGCUUGAAUUCAGAUCCAGCUCUGUACUUCCUGGCUGAGGUAUUGCUGAUACGAGUCAUUUUACUUCCCCGAGCCUCGGGGUCCUUACCGUCAAAAGCGUGGUUCUCGCUCAGCAAUUCUGUGCUGUAAAUUGCUGACGUGUAUAACCCACGGAGUGGGAGCCAAGGCCUGAUAUAGUAAUUAGCCAAGCCAGUUCAUGCGGAACCUAGAGAAGCAAAGCCUCGACUUUAGGCUUCACCCUUCAGGCACCGGGAAGUCAAAGAAGGCUUUUUACCUCAGCAUCAUCAGAUGGUAGAAUUGAGGUGGAAGAGUUGCUCAAGAGACAAGCUGGGCUGGCCGCAGCAGCCAUCUUCCAGUAACUCACCAAAAUGACGAACACAAAGGGAAAGAGGAGAGACACUCAGUGUAUGUUCUCUAGGCCUUUUAGGAAACAUGGAGUUGUUCCUUUGGUCACAUACAUGCGACUCUACAAGAAGGGUGAUAUUGUAGACAUCAAGGGAAUGGACACCAUUCAAAAAGGAAUGCCCCAUGAGUGUUACCAUGGCAAAACCGGAAGAGUCUACAAUGUCACCCAGCAUGCAGUGGGCAUCAUGGUGAACAAGCAUGUCAAGGAAGGGCAAGAUGCUGGCCAAGAGGACCAAUGUGGGGACUGAGCACAUCAAGCACUCGAAGAGCAGAGACAGCUUCCUGAAGUGGGUAAAGGAGAAUGGUCAGAAGAAAAAGGAAGCCAAAGAGAAGGGUACCUGGGUUCUGCUGAAGCGCCAGCCUGCGCUGCCCAGAGGAGCCCCCUUUGUGAGGACUAACGGAAAGGAGCCAGAGCUGCUGAGGCCCAUGCCAUACGGAUUCACGGCUAAUGGACAAAAAGAAAUAAAGGACCCGACUGAAAAAGGAAGAGACAGAGACAGAGAGAGAGAG